rnacentral:rRNA from 1 species
UACGUAGGGGGCAAGCGUUGUCCGGAAUCAUUGGGCGUAAAGAGCGUGUAGGCGGCCAGGUAGGUCCGCUGUGAAAACUCGAGGCUCAACCUCGAGAUGUCGGCGGAAACCAUCUGGCUAGAGUCCGGAAGAGGAGAGUGGAAUUCCUGGUGUAGCGGUGAAAUGCGCAGAUAUCAGGAAGAACACCCGGUGGCGAAGGCGGCUCUCUGGGACGGUACUGACGCUGAGGUGCGAAAGCGUGGGGAGCAAACAGG